rnacentral:rRNA from 1 species
AACGAACGCUGGCGGCAGGCCUAACACAUGCAAGUCGAGCGGGGACAGGGAAGUAGCAAUACGGAACUGUUCUAGCGGCGGACGGGUGAGUAACGCGUGAGCAACCUGUCCCAAACAGGGGGAUAACGAACCGAAAGGUUCACUAAUACCGCAUGAGACCACAUUGUCACAUGGCAAAGGGGUCAAAGGAGCAAUCCGGUUUGGGGUGGGCUCGCGUCUGAUUAGCUAGUUGGUGAGGUAAAGGCCCACCAAGGCGACGAUCAGUAGCCGACCUGAGAGGGUGAUCGGCCACAUUGGAACUGAGAGACGGUCCAAACUCCUACGGGAGGCAGCAGUGGGGAAUAUUGGGCAAUGGGCGAAAGCCUGACCCAGCAACGCCGCGUGAAGGAAGAAGGUUUUCGAAUCGUAAACUUCUAUCCUUGGUGAAGAUAAUGACGGUAGCCAAGAAGGAAGCCCCGGCUAACUACGUGCCAGCAGCCGCGGUAAGGCACGACUGU